rnacentral:rRNA from 1 species
AUUGAACGCUGGCGGAAUGCUUUACACAUGCAAGUCGAACGGCAGCACGGGUGCUUGCACCUGGUGGCGAGUGGCGAACGGGUGAGUAAUACAUCGGAACGUACCCAGUUAUGGGGGGUAACUAACCGAAAGGUUAGCUAAUACCGCAUACGCCCUGAGGGGGAAAGCGGGGGACCGUAAGGCCUCGCGUAAUUGGAGGGGCCGAUGUCUGAUUAGCUAGUUGGUGAGGUAAAGGCUCACCAAGGCGACGAUCAGUAGCAGGUCUGAGAGGAUGAUCUGCCACACUGGAACUGAGACACGGUCCAGACUCCUACGGGAGGCAGCAGUGGGGAAUUUUGGACAAUGGGCGAAAGCCUGAUCCAGCCAUUCCGCGUGAGUGAAGAAGGCCUUCGGGUUGUAAAGCUCUUUCGGCAGGGAAGAAACGCUCUGGGAUAAUACUCCGGGGUAAUGACGGUACCUGAAGAAGAAGCACCGGCUAACUACGUGCCAGCCGCCGCGGUAA